UUGCCGCAACAACUGCUGCUCCUCCUCCUGUUUCUGUUGUUGCUUAAGUAAGAAAAGCUUGUCUAAAACGGACAGCUGCUGUGUAGGAAGAGAAGCUUGGUGUUGCAACUGUAGCAAAUAUUGCUGCUGCAUCAUACUCAGUACUUGUGGAUCUUGUGACAAACCUGAUUGUAAUAUCUUAUCAGGUCCCAUCAUAGACGGUUGAUUAUCCAUAGCCCGACCAAUUAAAUUCGCUAGAGGUGCUAAGUUUUCAGGCUGCAGCCUUUGCUGCUGCACAAACGGGGCUUGUGGAGGGAAAAUUUGCUCGUUACGGAAGUCAAUCUUACCCUCGAGAGGAUCUAAGUUAUUUUGGACAGGGAAAUUAAACCAACCAGAAACAGAUCUGUCAGAUACACCCUGC
rnacentral:lncRNA from 1 species